ACCCGCUGAACUUAAGCAUAUCAAUAAGCGGAGGAAAAGAAACUAACAAGGAUUCCCCUAGUAACUGCGAGUGAAGCGGGAAAAGCUCAAAUUUAAAAUCUGGCGGUUUUGCCGUCCGAGUUGUAAUCUGGAGAAGCGUUUUCCGCGUCGGACCGUGUACAAGUCUCUUGGAACAGAGCGUCAUAGAGGGUGAGAAUCCCGUCCAUGACACGGACUCCCGGUGCUUUGUGAUACGCUCUCGAAGAGUCGAGUUGUUUGGGAAUGCAGCUCAAAAUGGGUGGUAAAUUCCAUCUAAAGCUAAAUAUUGGCGAGAGACCGAUAGCGAACAAGUACCGUGAGGGAAAGAUGAAAAGCACUUUGGAAAGAGAGUUAAACAGUACGUGAAAUUGUUGAAAGGGAAACGCUUGAAGUCAGUCGCGUCUUACGGGACUCAGCCUUGCCUCGGCUUGGUGUACUUCCUGUAGGACGGGUCAACAUCGAUUUUGACCGGUGGACAAAGGGGAUGGGAAUGUGGCAAUCUUCGGGUUGUGUUAUAGCCCUCUUCCAUAUACAUCGGUUGGGAUCGAGGACCGCAGCGCGCCUUUAUGGCCGGGGGCUUGCCCCACGUACCGCGCUUAGGAUGUUGGCAUAAUGGCUUUAAGCGACCCGUCUUGAAACACGG
rnacentral:rRNA from 1 species